AUACGGAGGGUGCAAGCGUUAUUCGGAAUCACUGGGCGUAAAGGACGCGUAGGCGGGUUGGCAAGUCAGAUGUGAAAUCCUACAGCUUAACUGUAGAACCGCAUUUGAAACUGCUAACCUAGAGUAUGGGAGGGGGAGAUGGAAUUAGUGGUGUAGGGGUAAAAUCCGUAGAUAUCACUAGGAAUACCGAAAGCGAAGGCGAUCUCCUGGAACAUAACUGACGCUAAGGCGUGAAAGCGUGGGGAGCAAACAGGAUUAGAAACCCCAGUAGUCC
rnacentral:rRNA from 1 species